rnacentral:rRNA from 1 species
UGCAGUCGACGGUAACAGGAAGCAGCUUGCUGCUUUGCUGACGAGUGGCGGACGGGUGAGUAAUGUCUGGGAAACUGCCUGAUGGAGGGGGAUAACUACUGGAAACGGUAGCUAAUACCGCAUAACGUCGCAAGACCAAAGAGGGGGACCUUCGGGCCUCUUGCCAUCGGAUGUGCCCAGAUGGGAUUAGCUUGUUGGUGGGGUAACGGCUCACCAAGGCGACGAUCCCUAGCUGGUCUGAGAGGAUGACCAGCCACACUGGAACUGAGACACGGUCCAGACUCCUACGGGAGGCAGCAGUGGGGAAUAUUGCACAAUGGGCGCAAGCCUGAUGCAGCCAUGCCGCGUGUAUGAAGAAGGCCUUCGGGUUGUAAAGUACUUUCAGCGGGGAGGAAGGGAGUAAAGUUAAUACCUUUGCUCAUUGACGUUACCCGCAGAAGAAGCACCGGCUAACUCCGUGCCAGCAGCCGCGGUAAUACGGAGGGUGCAAGCGUUAAUCGGAAUUACUGGGCGUAAAGCGCACGCAGGCGGUUUGUUAAGUCAGAUGUGAAAUCCCCGGGCUCAACCUGGGAACUGCAUCUGAUACUGGCAAGCUUGAGUCUCGUAGAGGGGGGGUAGAAUUCCAGGUGUAGCGGUUGAAAUGCGUAGAGAUCUGGAAGGAAUACCGGAUGACGAAUG